UCUAUCUUCACAAACUCUUUGCACAUCCAAACGAGGGUAGGUUACCCACCUCUCUUCUAUCUCUCUUUCUUCAACCUCUCUCUUUCCUUUCUCACUUCUACCAAAUAGAAUGAGAGCUAGCGGAGGAAGAUUAACGUCAACUUCUCUUUCUUUUUCUCUCUCUUCCCAAUCUUCUUCAUAUUCAUUGCCCCGUACAUCUUCAAAACCGCUCCUAUAGGAUCAAGAUCAAUACCUCCACCUGCCUCCACCCUAGUGUCAUCGCCACCAUCACCAAGUGCAGAAAGCCUAGGCCCAAGAUCGGGCCCCUCCGACACUUCAUCACCGCCUCCCCCUUCUUCCCUUCAAGUACUUGUAUUCCACAUAUCCAUAAUAAACAUCUCCUUCAUUGUUGCCGCCGAUGUCUAUUUGAGAACCUCCGAUGGUGCUACGGUAUGUGAACGAGUAGAGCUGAGGAAAUAGGCUUUGGAGCAAGCUGUGAGAUUUCACGACGGAGAAGGACACCCUAGAGAACUUGCUGAGUUCAGGAACUAUUUUUGGAUCGAACUGCAAUGUCGAGUUUGGAUGGAGAAAUAAAAGGCGAUGGAGAAUCUUCGAUGGAGCUUGACCUUUGUACAAGUCGGAGAGGAGAACUUGAAGAAUAGUGGAAGACUCGAAAAGUAUAGUCGGGUUUAAGGCUAGAGCCUUGGGUUAGAGAACUUACCGUUAUUGGUUUAAGCUUGCAUUAUGAUUUUAGAAAUUUAUAAUAGUGGCUUCAGGUAGGUUCCGACGCAUUGCUUUCUUGCGGUUCCCCGGUGUGGAGAUCGUAGGGAGUAAGUCGAAUUUGUGGUGUCGUUGCAUAAUAGAUUCUUUGUUGAAUCUGAUUCUUGUUAGAUUUUGUGCUUUCGUCUCCACCUUCGGGUACUUGCCUUGUUCAAGGCAACAUGUAAUUUUCUUUACAGUUGGGAGUAAGCAUGACAUGUUUUGGAAAUACUUCGAAAAGAAAAAACUAA